rnacentral:rRNA from 1 species
AUUGAACGCUGGCGGCAGGCUUAACACAUGCAAGUCGAGCGGGGGAAGGUAGCUUGCUACCGGACCUAGCGGCGGACGGGUGAGUAAUGCUUAGGAAUCAGCCUAUUAGUGGGGGACAACAUCUCGAAAGGGAUGCUAAUAACGCAUACGUCCUACGGGAGAAAGCAGGGGAUCUUCGGACCUUGCGCUACUAGAUGAGCCUAAGUCGGAUUAGCUAGUUGGUGGGGUAAAGGCCUACCAAGGCGACGAUCUGUAGCGGGUCUGAGAGGAUGAUCCGCCACACUGGGACUGAGACACGGCCCAGACUCCUACGGGAGGCAGCAGUGGGGAAUAUUGGACAAUGGGGGGAACCCUGAUCCAGCCAUGCCGCGUGUGUGAAGAAGGCCUUAUGGUUGUAAAGCACUUUAAGCGAGGAGGAGGCUACUCUAGUUAAUACCUAGGGAUAGUGGACGUUACUCGCAGAAUAAGCACCGGCUAACUCUGUGCCAGCCGCCGCAGUAA